GACGAACGCUGGCGGCGUGCUUAACACAUGCAAGUCGAACGGAAAGGCCCUGCUUUUGUGGGGUGCUCGAGUGGCGAACGGGUGAUUAACACGUGAGUAACCUGCCCUUGACUUUGGGAUAACUUCAGGAACCUGGGGCUAAUACCGGAUAGGAGCUCCUGCUGCAUGGUGGGGGUUGGAAAGUUUCGGCGGUUGGGGAUGGACUCGCGGCUUAUCAGCUUGUUGGUGGGGUAGUGGCUUACCAAGGCUUUGACGGGUAGCCGGCCUGAGAGGGUGACCGGCCACAUUGGGACUGAGAUACGGCCCAGACUCCUACGGGAGGCAGCAGUGGGGAAUAUUGCACAAUGGGCGGAAGCCUGAUGCAGCAACGCCGCGUGCGGGAUGACGGCCUUCGGGUUGUAAACCGCUUUCGCCUGUGACGAAGCGUGAGUGACGGUAAUGGGUAAAGAAGCACCGGCUAACUACGUG
rnacentral:rRNA from 1 species